rnacentral:rRNA from 1 species
CCUUUGGGUUGUAAAGCUCUUUCGGCCGGGAAGAAGGGUUGAGGUGUUAAUAGUAUCUCAAUUUGAUGGUACCGGAAGAAGAAGCACCGGCUAACUUCGUGC